rnacentral:rRNA from 1 species
CCUACGGGUGGCUGCAGUGGGGAAUAUUGGACAAUGGGCGAAAGCCUGAUCCAGCCAUGCCGCGUGUGUGAAGAAGGCCUUCGGGUUGUAAAGCACUUUCAGUGGGGAAGAAAGCCUUGGGGCUAAUACCCUCGAGGAAGGACAUCACCCACAGAAGAAGCACCGGCUAACUCCGUGCCAGCAGCCGCGGUAAUACGGAGGGUGCGAGCGUUAAUCGGAAUUACUGGGCGUAAAGCGCGCGUAGGCGGUCUGAUAAGCCGGUUGUGAAAGCCCCGGGCUCAACCUGGGAACGGCAUCCGGAACUGUCAGGCUAGAGUGCAGGAGAGGAAGGUAGAAUUCCCGGUGUAGCGUUGAAAUGCGUAGAGAUCGGGAGGAAUACCAGUGGCGAAGGCGGCCUUCUGGACUGACACUGACGCUGAGGUGCGAAAGCGUGGGUAGCAAACAGGAUUAGAUACCCUAGUAGUC